rnacentral:rRNA from 1 species
UACAGAGGGGGCAAGCGUUAUUCGGAAUUAUUGGGCGUAAAGGGCGCGUAGGCGGCCUUUCAAGUGACGGGUGAAAUCCCUCGGCUUAACCGAGGAACUGCCUGUCAGACUGGGAGGCUUGAGACCGGGAGAGGUGAGUGGAAUUCCCAGUGUAGCGGUGAAAUGCGUAGAUAUUGGGAGGAACACCUGCGGCGAAGGCGGCUUCCUGGACUGCAACUGACGCUGAGGCGCGAAAGCUAGGGGAGCGAACGGG